UUAACUAUUAUAUAGUACUCAGACGACACUAAUAAUUCAGAGUUUGGGGUCCUCUGGCGAGCACUCACCAGCGUGAGCCGGUGGCCGAAGCGUCUCGCCAAAGCAACAAAGGUACAAUAACAUAAGGGUUGGAGAGUCACCCGUGAGGGCGAUGUUCUCUGUAAUGAUCCUUCCGCAGGUUCACCUACGGAAA
rnacentral:misc_RNA from 1 species